rnacentral:lncRNA from 1 species
UCCUGAUACCAAAAAAAGAAUCAGAAUUCAAAUUGAAACCGUAAGUUCCAUUUGAGUCAUAUCAAGAGCUCCACUUCUGCAACACUUGAACACCAAUGAUUAAGACUAGAGCUGGAGUUUGGUUUUUCAGGGACGGACCAUGAGGAGAUCAACAAAGGGUUUGCCAUCAGAGGUUUUCUGGUAGAGGGUUUCCUCAAAAAGGAUAACACCAGAGAGGCAAGGGAAAGCGCCAGGGGAAGUGAAGAGGAGCUCACGGAGAGCUUGGCGGUUGGACUCAACGUUCUCGACAUUGAUGCUGGCGAAUCGUUUCCCGAUGGUUCCUGUGCUCUCGUCUGCCGCCAAAAUGCCCUUUCCCGGUGUUGCAAUGUACUUAGCCGUCUUAAUCAGCUCAUCUGAACUCAGAAAGCACAUUAAAGAGAGAACCUGAAGAGACUGGAACACGAAGAGUUAUACAACAAGAAGAGUGUAUGUACCUGCGUAUUUGCCGACAAAAGCAGACAUGGUUGCUUUUUGGAGUGCAAGAGAGACGAGUUUUACUGAAGAGGACGAGGAAGCCAAGACAAAGCCUUAAGUACCUGCAACUUUUGAGAAUAUAUAGGUAAUAUCUACGAGGAAUAUACUAUUAGCAUUUGUCAUACGUGUCGGAAGGAGAGCCCGAGGAAGAUUAUCAACCUCCGAUAAAGCAAAUGAGUGAUUGCUUCUACACUACCAAAUGGCAACCAAUGAUCCCAGCUUUAUCCCCAAAGUCUUGGAUAUGUGGAGAAGAGAAAGAGAUAGGUACAAAACAAAAGCAGAGUGUUUUGUAUAGUACCUCUCUCACACACUUCAACCACACGAGUGUGCGUGCAACCAAAACUUACAAACACAAGAGAUAUUUUGGAUAAUGAAGACAAAUGUAUUUUUUUUUUUUUCAUUUUGUCAUCAUCGGCCCAGUAGCCAUAUACCUCCCACUAGGGAGAGAGAGACUAGGUUUGAACCUGGAUUCAUGAGAUGACAACAGGAGGGGGUGAUGUAUUAUGCUUAAUUAUGGGGUAUCAAGGGUUCCAAGGAUAUUUAUAUAUGGCACACGACACAAUAGUUGUUAUGGAGUAUCAAGAGUUCCAAGGAUAAUUAUAUAUGGUACACCGAAUCCCGGGUUCGAUCAACCCGCACUUGGGCAUUUAUAAAUAAACAGAACUGUUCCCAAGAACUUGAGGGGGUUUAAGUGGGAAAACCAACAAAGUUGAAGGUGAUUCCUUUGAUAGUUUGUGUAGCCGUUGUUGUGGAUAGAAUGGUGAAUGAAUCAAUAAACUGCUAGGCAGGACAUGGAAGGGACAACUAAUGCUGCAGGACCACAGUGGCCUAGUCAUCGCCUGUGCCAAAAUAUCGGUCCCCAAACUCUCCCAUACCAGGAAUUACAACUCUUCCUUAAUCCAUUAUCGAUUUCAGAUGUCACUAUCUUUAUUCUUGGGAAUUUUCGCAGACCACAUGAACAUCUUGAGGUGCCUGAUUGAACAAAGAAGAAAAAAUAUCGCAAUUCAGCUGCAUUAUUGUGGAUAAACAUGGAUAAGAAGUAACCACAAGGGGUGUGUGUUAGCUUACUGAGAUAAGGUUUAGAAGUAUGAUGUUUCCCUCAAGUACGCCCUUGUUUAUAAGAAGGUUGAUAGCUUCAGCCGCUGAGUUUCCGGACAAGAUCAUGUUCAAUUUCAGCAGGUGUCACUAAGCACGUCUUCAAGUGUGUUGAAUUGGCAAACAGUGUGCAGUAGAGCAAAGAGAAAAAUAUCUGGUAAUGAUUGUCCUUAAACAAAUUUUAUACGUACAAUAAAAACAUUUUUUUUGCUUUUCAAAACGUGAAUCUCACAUGGAUAUUGCUGUAUGUAUUUAGGUGUGGAAGACCUUUACCAGUUGCUUUUCUGGUUGCUAAAUCAAAAUUAAAUCUUUUUAAUUUAGUUUAAUCAACUCUGACGGAUUAGCAUGUAUAGCUUGACAGUAACUGGAAAAAUAACAAUUAUUAGCAAUUUGCAAAACUGAACAUUCGAACAGUUACAACACCAACGAAACAUUAGACAUAUACUCAAACCGCAUCAAAGGUGAACGCCCGUUCUCAAACAAUCCUAGUACCUGUAUCCUAUCACAACCAAGCUCUCGGAGGCGGCCGAAUCACCAGAAGCCCAGCCGGUGUAUUUCCCGAGGGUAGCGUCCGAGUUAGCCUUGCACCUGGUCAGGAACUUGGCCUGAGCUUUGGCUACGUUCUCGGUUUUACCAGCCCAAGCCUUGAGAGCGCUUUGCUGGAGGGCUCCGCCAAAAGAGAAAGUGAGCGUCCAUGGCUUCAACACAUCAAGCUUGUUCAUUGCGUUUAGAUUUAGUGUCGCUUGCUCUUCCCGCUGUACGCCUGAGAGGAACACGAUUCCCGGAAUAGCUGGUGGGACUGUACGGCACAGAGCAGUCACCGUGUAUUCCGCGAUUACUUCCGGUGCAACCUGUAAGAAGAACAAUUUUAGCGUUUUGUAGCAAAUUAACGUCGCAUUUCGAGGUAUUUAUGUCUCUGUGAUUCAUUUGAUUGUGGUUCCGUAAGGAGCAGGCAUGUAAAUCUAAAUAAAAUAGCAUCAAACCGAUAAAGUUUGGUUGUGUUUUCAGUUUCGAAAUAUAAGACCAAUAAAACCGAAAAAUCGGAAACAACUGUUCCAAAACAAAACCCGGAUUGCCCACACCUAGUUUCGUUACCUUUGGGCUGUCGGAACCGGGAGUGACCAUGUUAGGUUUAAGCAGAGUGCCUUCGAGGAGGACAUGGUGGUCGUUCAAGGCCUUGAACACGGCAGCAAGAACCGUCUCGGUCACCGCCGCACAUUUCUUGAUGUCGUGGCUCCCACCGGUCAGCACCUCUGGCUCCACGAUCGGGACAAGUCCGUUCUCCUGGCAGAUGAUGGCAUAGCGGGCUAGCACCUUGGCGUCCUCUUGGAUCGAGAGAACGCUUGGCUCAGUGGCCCCAAUCUUGAAGAAUGCACGCCAUUUAGCAAACCGGGCUCCUGCCUUGUAAUAGUCCUGGCACCGUGCACCAAGCGAGUCUAGACCCUGAGUAAUGGUCUCGCCGUUGGUUCCUGCUAGAUCAACCAAACCCUUGUCUACUUUGAUUCCGGGGAUAACACCGUUCUCCUGAUCCAAAGAAAAAUCAGAAUCCAAACUAAAACAAUAAGUUCCAUUUGGGUCAUGUCAAGAGCUUCAACUCUGCAACUCUUGAACCCAAUGAUUAAGACUAGAGCUGGAGUUUGCUUUUUCUGAGACGGACCAUGAGGAGAUCGACGAAGGGUUUUCCAUCAGAGGUUUUCUGGUAGAGGGUUUCCUCGAAGAGUAUAACACCAGAGAGGCAAGGGUAACUGCCAGGGGAAGUGAAGAGGAGCUCUCGGUAAGCUUGGCGGUUG